GCGGGUGUGGUGGAACUGGCAGACACGCUAGACUUAGGAUCUAGUGCCGUAAGGCGUGGGGGUUCGACUCCCUUCACCCGCA
rnacentral:tRNA from 5 species